rnacentral:rRNA from 1 species
CAGCGGAGGGAUCAUUAUAGAGUUAUACAACUCCAAACCCGUGUAAACGUACCACAUUGUUGCCUCGGCCGGCUGUGCCUACCCUGUAGCGACUUACCCUGUAGCCACCUACCCUGUAGGAGUUACCCUGUAAGGAUCUACCCUGUAGGCAUGUCCAGGGCCGGCCGAAGGCUCCCGAACCCUAGUUAAUAUACGUGACUUCUGAAAACGCAACUUAAUAAGUUAAAACUUUCAACAACGGAUCUCUUGGUUCUGGCAUCGAUGAAGAACGCAGCGAAAUGCGAUAAGUAAUGUGAAUUGCAGACUUCAGUGAAUCAUCGAAUCUUUGAACGCACAUUGCGCCCAUUAGUAUUCUAGUGGGCAUGCCUGUUCGAGCGUCAUUUCGACCCUUAAGCCCUGUUGCUUAGUGUUGGGAGCCUACCUACCCUGUAGCUCCUCAAAGUUAGUGGCGGAGUCGGGUUACACUCUAAGCGUAGUAAUAUUUUCUCGCUUCUGUAGUUGUCUCAGUUCCUGCCGUAAAACACCUAUAUUUAUCUAGGU